CAGCCGCCGCGGGAAUACAGAGGGUGCGAGCGUUAAUCGGAUUUACUGGGCGUAAAGCGUGCGUAGGCGGCUUCUUAAGUCGGAUGUGAAAUCCCUGAGCUUAACUUAGGAAUUGCAUUCGAUACUGGGAAGCUAGAGUAUGGGAGAGGAUGGUAGAAUUCCAGGUGUAGCUGUGAAAUGCGUAGAGAUCUGGAGGAAUACCGAUGGCGAAGGCAGCCAUCUGGCCUAAUACUGACGCUGAGGUACGAAAGCAUGGGGAGCAAACAGGAUUAGAUACCCCUGUAGUCCCUGUCUCUUAUAC
rnacentral:rRNA from 1 species